UUGUUGCUAAGAUGGAAGAAAUGGGAGCCAAUGUCGCGAUGGAAGGAGAAGAAUAAAAUGAUAUGCGUGCACUGCUACUAGUAUGGAUGCCAUUCACAUACAUAUGUUGCAUUGCUUCAAGCUAUGGUCAAGUUAUGUUAAUGUUUACCUACAAUAAGUUGUUGAAUGUUUGGGGACAACUCUGGUUGAACCAUGUAUUUGUCUGAAUUACAUAUAUGUCAUGCAUUUGUGCAUGUGUGUCAGCUCAUAAGCCUAUUUAGUUGCUCUUGCUGCUUGUAAUAAGGCCAUAGAGAGUGUCCACAAUGAUAUGUAGCGUGCACGUAUGUUAUAAUACAUUUACAUAUUGUCUGCGCCCUUGCCAAUUUUAUUGGACAUUGAUUACUGUUGUCAGUCUAUGCAUGCUCAAUAUUUUAAUUUUCUCGAAAGAGUUUUGAUAAUUUUCAGCAUUUUGGAGUACAUGAAAUAAUGAAGAACGUCAUACCAAGUAGGAUUCUGAAUCCUAGCAGGAAAGACAAUGUCGAGAAGGAUACUUGUUUGAUUUUUUGGCUGCUAUCAGACUUUUUUUCCUUGGGAUUGUGUGGCUUGCUGUUUGGAGGACAUUAAAACACUAUACAAGAGUCACGGCUGAGAAAAUACUUGCUUAUUGACCAGGAGAAAGGGUCCUCUAAUGGAGCAGUUGGAUCAACUGCUAAUUAAUUAAUUUUUCAUGUAAAUAGUUAUGUAGAGAAUAUAUUACAAAUAGAAAGACUUAAUUAAUACUGCAGUGCAUGUGCUCAUAUGGAUAUGAAUGAGACACACAUACUCAACGGCCGGCCAGCUGGCUUAAACAACACAGAAUGCACACAACUUCACACUUACAUGAAAUUAAGUAUAUACUCAUGUUCCUUUUGUGUGCCACCACCACCCUCCUCUAGAUCACAACAUAUAGUGUAAUUCUCCUCCCUAUUUCCUCCUACCACUGCCACCCUCGUGUAGACUUCGUCCUCCUCCUGAUCCCAUCCUCCUCCCAGACAAACCCCUCAUGUCGCACCCCAUGUUGACACCACGGGCCCUAUGCUAGCACCACCAACAGCCAGCUAUGUUGAAGUCCCCUUAUGUCGCUGUCACCGGCAUUCACCAUGGUGGUGGUGGCAGCCUGACAGCAGGCCCUGUUCCAAAGGUACCGCAGAGGAUGGUAAUGAUGGUGGCCCACUGGUAUGAUUGGGGCAGUGCAAACAGGGAGAUCACGUGUGGCGUCCUAGGUAACGCCCCUGGAUGUGCGUUGGUUGUCACGUCCAUGGACUAUCACGAUCUCAAGCAUGCUUCUUGGAGAUGGUUAGCAUCGGUGUUCCAUAGAUCUGAUUUCCUCCUAGAUCCAUUGUUGAGUCCGGCUUUGGGCCAUUCGACGAUGCAUAGAGGGUCGAGCAAGGGAUGAUGUAGUUUCCUGCCGGCAUUCUAGCGGCUACGCGCGCUCUAUGUUGCGGCUCCACACGGAUUAGCGAUCCAUUGGUUUGGAGUGGCAUGACUGCUAGUGAAAACAACACUGAUUUCGGCCAUGUUGGGUGAUGGGAAAGUGUUAGGUGUCAUUUCAUGGUAAAAGCCUUCGACGUCACCUCGCUUCGGCUGCUCCGGGGGAAACUCUAGAUAUGGAUCUUCUAGAUGGGAUGAUGACUGGACGUUCGGUGCCAUUCUCCCUCCUAGGCAAACUGUUUUGGAGCAAGUGCUGGCCGGAGUGGCCAAGAGGUGGAGUGGUGUUGCAUAUACCACAUAGAUGAUGUCGGUUUUGACGGUAUGGCAUAGUGCAUACUCAAUGAUAGACACAUGCGUGAUUAUCUCGGGGGUGUGGCAUCGUGGUGGCGUCAAUGAUAGUUCGUUCCUGCAAGGUAAAGGCAUUGAUCUCUCUUGAAGAUGGGACCACGAAAGAUGUCGUCGUUGGAUUCUAGUGUAGGUGUAUGUGGUGCGUGUUGAGGGUCUGCUAGACAGGCCGGUACUCUCGACUCGUUGUUGGUUUGCUUGGUGAGGCGACCAGAUUAGAUCGUAUGUGCUAUUGCGAGGUCAGGGCACAUAAUCAAACAUAUAGGUGCCGUGACAAACCGUCAUGAAGGUGGCUUUGGGUUGAUCCAUGUAAUUCUUUUGUGAUAAUCUAUCGAAUAAUAUAACAACAAUGGUUGGGGGCAUCCUUGUAUGCUGAGGUUGGCGGUUUCAACUUCCUUUUCAACAUAAAUACUCCCUCCUUUCAUGCAUAAGGCCUAUUGUUUUUCUCACGGUACCCAAGGAUGGUCCAGUAGAGAAAUUUAUUGUCCACUUUACCCGUCAAACACUGUUACCUCUUUGUAAUGACACUUUGUAUCAAAAAGAAACUAAAAUAUUUAGUUAUGGCACAUCUUCUGGUAUAUAUGAAAACAAUGGAUGUGGAGUAUGCUUUCUUGGGGCGGGGUGAAAUGUUACGAGUUACCCCGUUGUGCCAUGCAGCUACAACCUGAUAUACCAUUUGUUUUCUUUGCAGCUUCAUCCUGCUGGGCGAGCACAACCGAUUACUCACAUAUGAAAAAAAAUAUAAACUUGUGAUGUAGAUUUGCCACUGAUUUUAAUGGGUAAAAAAUUGACGUAAAAAUCCAGAAUGUUGUCAAUUAAUCAUGAUAAUAAAUUUUAUGAAAACGACAUUAUAGGUAUCUAAUAAUAGGUCAAAGGCAAAACAUUUUAAUCUUUGAAAAUACUUUGAAUCUGAAAAUUGUUCACGCGUUGGGAAUAAUAAUAAAAAGGGAAAGGAAAAACAAAACAGAAAAGACGAUUCUAAAAAAGAAAGAAAAAACCCACCCGGAAGAACAGUGGUUGAGAUGGGCAUGUGGUAAAUAUCUACCUAGUACUUAACUCAAGAGUAUACUAUGUUUGCACAUGAGUCUUCCUUCUCUCAUGAUGUGGAUCUAACAUGAUAUAUAGACUUCCAAAUAUAUGGCGCGUCAGUCUCUAAAUACAAUAAAAGGUCGAUACCUCGUCAUAAUCACUAGCAUAUAUUAAGUUAUCGACUAUGUGGAGUGAAAACAACAUCGUACUUGGUCUAGCCUAAUCAAUGUCUUAUGUUGGACAUAUACUGGGUUUGUAUUUCGUCUCUUUCCAACAAUAAUUGAACUUUCUUUGUAGGCCAACAUGAAGUUCACUAUCAAUUCAAAAACAUGCAAAACAAUUAAUUACAAAGUAUGCUUUCAGCAUCAUGUAUAUUAACAAAUAUCCAAAAAUUUUGUCGCAAGUCAAAAUGGCUACAUGUGCCAAAUCAAUGACUCGAUCGCGUCUGAUGAUGGUGUGGAUCACACAUGAUAUAUAGAAUUUGAAAUAUACAAUGGUAGGUUUAUCUCUAAAUACAAUAAAGGAUGGAUAGCUCAUCAUGAUCGCUAGCGUAUAUUAAGUUAGCUACUAAGUGUAAUGAACACACCAUCAUGCUUGGGCUAACCUACACAAUGUCUUAUGAUGUGUAUAUAUUGUGCAUUGAUUGUCUUUGCGUUUCGUCAUUCUGAACAAUAACUGGACUUCUUUUGUAGGCCAACAUGUGACUUUUUCAUACGGCUUUUCUUAAUAAUAGUAUAGUUUACCACAAGCAUGGAUCAGUGUUUAUAGACUAAUUUGUUGUCCCGUCUCAAACUCAAUGUAUUGAGCUCUCUCCUCCGACUAGAAAUGGCUAUCUCCUCUCUCUUGUAAUCAAAAUUCAAAAUUAAGAAGCACCCAUAUUCUCAGGUGCAAAAUUUGCAAUAGAAGCAUAAUGGGAAAUACAAGUAUUAUGCGUAAUGUGAGAGGGGAUAAAUGCAGCACACUGUGAGUUUUGCAGACCAGACCAGCGUUUUGACAUUUGUGCGUCUCGGCUCCAAGAUGGAAGGUUGUUGGAUCAUCACGACCAAAACCUUAUAUCUUCACACCUUCAUACUGAACACCACAACCAGCGAAUUACUGAACACCACAACCAGCGAAUUAGUGAUAUGAAUAAAUACCAAGCUUGCUAUGAUAUAUACCAGCUUAUCCUAAAUCACACUGUACACACUACUUCUUCCUAAUCUCGCACAUGCAAUUCACUAUCAAUUCUACAAUGGGAAAAAAUGAAUCACAAAGUUUGCUUUCAGCGUGAUGCAUGUAGUACCGAUUUAACAUAAUAGAACACUCCUACUACUUAAUAUAACAAAAAGUGUGAGUUCAUUCAAGGAAACCAAAAGGGGCAUGGUGGAGCUUAUGUUCGUUUCUGAAGAACAAAUGCUGCUUGAGUUCGUCCUUGGAGAACGCUUGCAAUUUACCACCAAAGAUUGGCAAACAUUGAGUAGGUUCAUUCUCGGUCUUCUUUUUAGUGGAUCCUCCGUUAUUGCUGUUGUUUCUAGUUUAAGGAGAGCAGGUGUGUUUGAUUUGCUAGGUUUGUCGUUGGCAGCAAACUGUAGGAUAGCAAACAUAACUACUUUAAUUUCAAUCAGAGACCAAAUAAUUUGGACUUGUUCUAAUUAAUUUAUAAUGGUUGAGAUGGACACACAUUGUAGAUUAUAACAAAAUCUACUUUUUUUCUUCUUCUCAAAACAGCUACCUGUGCGUAUCUCAAUGACUCAACCAUGUCUGGCAAUGGUUUGGAUCACAUGAUAUAUCAAAUUUGAAAUAUACCAAUGGAAGGUUAUUACUGACUAAAUACAAUAUAGUGACAAUCGGGCGUCAUGAUCACUAGCAUACAUUAAGUUAUCUAGGCACACUAUGUACAACAUCUAGCUUGAGUGAGCGUAAACAAUAUCUUACGACGGAUAUAUAUUGUGUAACGACAAUAUAUAUAUAUANUAUAUAUAUAUAUUGUCUAUUCUCAACAAUAAUUGCACUUUCUUUGAAGACGACAUUAUGUUCCAUUUGACUCAAGUCAAACCAAGAUAGAUUAGCAGUUUGUAUGGAUCUUAUGUCUCUCUCCUUGUUUAAUUUACAAGAUCUGGCACCCGCAACACCAUCCCUUCUCCCCCCUUGUGUACACCUGCCAAGGACUAUGCACCACUAGGGGUUGUUGAUAUAUCUCCGCCCUUUUUCAUAUUUUGGAUCCCAACUCACGGCUCCCAUGUUGNNNNNNNNNNNNNNNNNNNNNNNNNNNNNNNNNNNNNNNNNNNNNNNNNNNNNNNNNNNNNNNNNNNNNNNNNNNNNNNNNNNNNNNNNNNNNNNNNNNNNNNNNNNNNNNNNNNNNNNNNNNNNNNNNNNNNNNNNUCACGGCUCCCAUGUUGUCCCACCCAAAUGUUCGCAUCGGCGUACCUUAGAGUGUUCAUGCCUAACAUUUGUUCAUGAUAUUUCUUGGUUUGAUAGUACUUUCCUAAUUGUGUAUCUAUUGCAUACUGGCUCUGAUCAAGACAAAUGAGAUGUCUACUUACCAUGAUUCUCUACGCCUUCCUUUGUCGCGGGAGCGCCAUUAUCACAUGACCAUAAUUCAAUUUGUUGUGUCGACACCUUGGCAACGUCCUGGGGUUCUAGGUUGUCUGAAUUUCCACGGUCUAAACAUUUUCUUGAAAGUUUCAUAUUUCAAAUUUAGUAUUUCUAUCAAAACAAUGACAACUGAAGGGACUAUGUGUGCAAUUUUUACAUUUUUGAAUUAUUUCCCAUGGAUAGGAUAAUCCCGGUGCAUUGCAUUAUAUUACUAUAUCUAAUUUUUCUGUGUCUCAUAAAACAAUUUUGAUACAAGUAGGACAAUGCAGAAGUUGCAUCAACCACCAAUUGGUCCAACUUGUAUGAUCGAUGGAAUUAAUAAAUCCUCGUCAGUUCAUUGAAUCUGUAGUGCAUAUGAAUAGAUGGAUAAGAACGAGCCGUACUCCUAGUCACAGAAGGCCCGCCGGUUAUAAAAAUAGAAAACACACAUCCAUGCACUCACAAAUGACACUAAUCCUAUAACCAUAUAUAGUUUAGACUUGCUAGCUAUCAUCCACCUCCAUCUGAGCGCGGCGAGUACAAAAAUAAAGCCAACGUUCAUCAUUAAGGUGGACUUCAUUUUGUCAUGAUACAUCUAUGUCAUCUCGAUCUAUAUAUAAGAAGUAGCAAUUAGAAGUACAUAAGUUGUUGUCCUAGUGAAUUAACUCUUUUCUUUUCAUAACUUGUCGAUGGAACCUCUGUUCAUUUUAGCCAUGCCAAUAUGCAAGUCUGUGCUGAAGAUGUGAAAAUUAUUACGACAUUAUCCAUAGAUAUAGCUGAUGACUUGGUUAUUUGGGUUGAAAACCAGGAUAAGCCAUACAUNACGGGACCCCGAUCCGUCGAAGGUAGACUCCGGUAGGAAGGAUUGAACUUUUGGUUCUUCUAUGUUGAGUUAGCAGAGAGUUGUUUCUCUGUUGUCUGUUGACAAAGAGGGAGAUGAGAAUUUUGAGUGAAAAAAAAAAUGUUGUAUGCCGUAUGUAUGUAUGUAUGUAUUUAAUACCCGUAUUUAUGUAUGUAUUUGCUUAUAUAGGCAUGUGGAGAAAUACGACAUUUGUAUGGUUAUGUAUUUGUGAUUAAAAAUGUGUUUUUGGCCUAGGGUCACUUACCGGUGGGGCCAAUGCACCCGCUGUCUAUGACAGGGAGGCCCCACGCGAUAGUUAAAAUAAAAAUGAAAAUAAUAUUUUUAUUAAAUAAAUAAAUAAAUACAUAUAAUAAUUAAUUAAUGAGUUAAUGAAUUAGUUAAAUAAAUAUAUAUGUUAAUCUGUUAAUUAGAAAAGUUAAUUAACAUAAUUAGAGUAUGACACGCGGGUCCCCCACUAAAUUAAUCUCAUUAAAUAAUAUUUAAUCUAAAAUAAAACUUGUGCCUAUAACGUUCGGGACCCGGAGGUCAGUUCACCAGUCAAAUGUUGAUGUCAGCAUGACAUCGCGAUGAUGUCAUAAUAGGAUUUUAUUAAAUCAUUUAAAUCUGUUUUUAAUUCCUAAAUAAUUAAUAAAACUUUGAAAAUUAAUAUUAAAUAAUCCGUAAGUCAGAUCAAAAUAUUUUCAACAUGAAAGUUGAUCAGCAGAACGAGACGAACCCGUAUACACGGCCCAUUCGUCUGUCACGCGUCCCUAGCAUAGCAAACAUGGAACUUUUCCAUCGUUUCCAGUAUAACCGGUAGUAGCCCGAGACCCGGAAAAUAUCGUCAGAUAUUCUUCCGACCCGUCUAUGACGGAUGUUGCUGCGUUAGCUCAUGUCUAGCCUGCAUCUUGCCAUGUCAUGCUUUGUGUUGCAUCGGUGCUAUUAUUUAUUGUUUCUUCCCCCUCUUCUUACCGGUAGACCCCGAGACUGACGCUGCCGCCGGGUACAUCUACGACCCGGCCGAUCAGUCCUUUGUCGCAGAGCAGCAAGGCAAGCAAACCCCCCCUUGAUCAUUCCUAUAUCGCCUAUGUCUUUCUUCCUACUGCUUGCAUUAGUAUUUUGCUACUUUUGUAGUUAGCUCCUAUAUCUGAUGCAUAGCCUAUUUUUGAUGAACUGCUACUUCCAGUCCUGUACCUUUAAUCUGCUUAAUAUAGGUGGAGCAGUCAUCUCCUCUGACCCCGUAGCUCAGUUGCCCCGCUUGUUUUCAAUCUCGAUCUCUGAUCGACGAGCCAGACCCGACACAACACAUACACCCCCCUUCGUUGUACGACGCUACACAGAUACUAUCGGGUACCGAGGGUGACACCUCACUAAGUACUCCUGAUGAUAUCUCUGUAGUAUAGCUAGUCGGUCGUGGUUAUCGAGGGUGAUUCCUCUUUCACCAUUCCCGAUGACGUCUCUGUCGUGCCACCCCGCGAGUGUGGGACCCCCGAGGGUGAUUCCUCUAAGCCCACCUUGACGGGUACAUCAUUCGGAAUCCAACGAGGGUGAUACCUCGGAUUCCCCCCGAUGUUACAACCACACAGUUUACUCGACCAUGUUAUUGGGAUCUUUGGUGAUUAGUUGUAAGACGGGUGGAUUCCCGUGAGACUGUGUUGCUGGCCUAAUUAAAAAUGUUAAUGGAUUUGGGUAUUUGAUCUGGGUUGGUCGGAGACCUUUUCGCACUAACCGGCUACGCGGGAAGAAUUAUGGGUACUCCGCGUCGCGGUAUCAGCCGAAGAUUUUCAGAUGCCAGCAAUGUAGCGGCGCGCGCCCGAGUGGUCCCGAGAUGCAUCGCGCUUGUGAUUAAGGGAUGCUAGGACUGACGUCGGCCGCCCACGCCACGUGUAGGAGCGCGAAGGGGAACUGGGCCCACGAACCCUUUGUGCUUAGGAUUUAGACCGGCGGGUUGGCCUCUCUGAUUAGUCUUAGGUGGGGCUGCGACGUGUCGAUAUUCCGAGGCCGGGCAGGACCCAGAAAAGUAUGUCCGGCCAGAGUGUUAUCGAGCGUGACGGGACAUGUGGUGCACCCCUGCAGGGAUGAAAAUUAACUAUUUCGGAUAGCUGUGUCCACGGUUACAGGACGACUUGGAGUUGUGCCCCGAUCUUUUACAACUACAAUUGUUACUUAACUGGAAUUAGUUUGCCUCGGGAUUGCUUCCUCGCAGGGAGUCGAGGGAGGAUCUUUAGGCGUGACCUCACUUUAAUAUGGCCGCAACAAUGUGACUAUUAAUGUUACCCCCUGUUCUACUCUCGUCUAUUGCUGCAAGACCCUGAAGAUGCUAGUCUUCGAUAGGACUAGGCCGUCUCUCUCUAUUCUCGCAUUGCUGCAGUCAGUCCACCCAUAACCCCCUUCUUUGAUACUGAGGCAUAAUUAGAAUAGUUCUGAUGUAAGACUUGCGAGUACUUUGGAUGAGUACUCACCGCUGCUUUGCUCCCCCUUGUUCCCUUGAUCCGUUUGCUGCGACCAGAUGAUGGAGCCCAGGAGAUGGAGGUCCCCGCCGCCGACGACUGCUACCCCGGCGGUGCCUACUACUACGUGGAGGCCGCUGAUGAUCAGGAGUAGUUAGGAGGUUCCCAGGCAGGAGGCCUCGCCUCGUUCGAUCGUUGUAUCUUUUGUGCUAGCCUUCUCUAAGGCACCCCAUGUUUUAUGUCUCUACUCAGAUAUCUGUUGCUUCCGCUGACUCGUGUGUUUAUCGAGCUUUCUUAUUCUAGCCCUCGAGGCCCCUAGCUUGUAAUAUGAAGCUGAUGUUAUUUUAUUUAUGUCUAGAAUUGUGUCGUGAUAUCUUCUCGUGAGUCCUUGGGUUUGGUCGUACGCUUUUGCGUGUAUGUUUAGCGUACGAUUAAGCCGAGGGCUUCACAAGUUGGUAUCAGAGCCGACUGCCUGUAGGUAGCCCCCUUUCCAACUCCUUGGCCGAAGUUGAGUCUAGUGUUUGAAAAACUUUACUAACACUGAUGUUGUGGCUUAUGAGCCCACAUCUCAAUUGGGUGGUAUUAGUAUCUUUUACUCCUUUCCUAUACUCUGGGCUCUACUUUCUCUUCUCUUUCGGGUCAAAGAUUUUACUAACUCUAACAUUAGGUUCUCGAAUCACAUCGAUCCGGAGCGUUGGACUAUCUACUCUUUUUCUCCUGAAUAUGUAUUACACACACUGUCAAUCUUAUUUUCAGAUGCGUCCCGCAAGACAGCACGUGCGCCUGACACAGGCCACUGAGACGACUGGGUUCCCGGCCAUUUUGGUCGAUCUCCUGACCAGGCUGGGAUAUCGCUGGUACCCCGAGUACACUGUGAUCGAGGAUUUUCGCGAGUACAACCAGUACCAGUACCAGGCUGAGGUUCGCAUCUUCGACCAGAGGGGCGGCGAGACCCUCGAGCGCCACGUGUUCUGUGGUAUUGGAGUGUCGGUCGAGAUGGCCGUCCAUGAUGCGGCCUACAUCGCCAUCACCCGUAUCCGUGGAGCGUACCCUCACCUGGAGGAGAGCCCUUUCAGAUACAUCCCGCAUGCUCCUGCUGGGGAUGAGACUGGGUCUGAUCUCACUGCCUACGCUUCUGACGUUCGGGAGCGCAGCGACCGUUCCUGCAUCGCUGUCUGCGCCCCUACGUGACGCGUCGCUACGACGCGCGGGUUCUGGUGCAGUACACUGAGGCAAUGGAUCAUGCUUUCCGAGCUCUGACUGUGGAGCUGUAUGCUACGCGCGCUCGUCUUUACGACGCGUUAACAGAGCUACAGCCAUCACACUGUCCGAGGGUUCCACCUAUGCGCAUCCGCGAGCCGAGCAGGACAGAGCUACCAUCAGCUCUCGAGUGGACUGAUGUUGGGGGUAGAACCCCUGCACUUGGACCUCAGCUGCUCGACUGGAUGCGGUACCCUCACCAGAGUCACAACGGGACACAGGGUCCUGUCCCUACCUUCUAUCACCGCCAGCUACCAGGAUUCGAUCGUCCUCUCCGACGUUGAUGUAGCCUUAUCGCUACAUCUCGUUGUGGUACUCUUCCACCGCGUGCCUGCGCGCCGCCUAGUGAGUCCAGGGUAUCGUCUAAUGCGUCCGGGCUAUCGCCAAAUUUCGAAUUUGUAAUCGUUAGUCUGUAAUCGAACUUAUCUAUGGGUCUGUAUGUCGAACUCAACUACUAUGGAGUAUCUAUCCCAUUUCCCUUUCAUUAUGCUUAAUUACUUCAUGAAUGCGUGCGAUGCCUUUGCAAUUACUUUAAGCUAAACUACCCCUGCUAAAUAUUUAACAGGAUGGUUAGACCAGCUCGCCGCCCGCGUGGCCCUGCCAACGAUGCACCACCCCCGCCUCCUGAGUAUAUGGCGGGGGUGAUCCAACAGUUUGAGCUGAACCNNNNNNNNNNNNNNNNNNNNNNNNNNNNNNNNNNNNNNNNNNNNNNNNNNNNNNNNNNNNNNNNNNNNNNNNNNNNNNNNNNNNNNNNNNNNNNNNNNNNNNNNNNNNNNNNNNNNNNNNNNNNNNNNNNNNNNNNNNNCUGAACCGCCAAUUUAUGCAAGGGCUCAUGGAUCAGUUCCAAAGGCCGAACAUGAACCAACCGCAAGGCGUGACACUGCAAGACUUCUGCCGCCUCAACCCUGCGACCUACCGCAGCUCAACUCAGCCUCUAGAUGCUGAUGACUGGCUCCGUGACAUUUCUUAUGAGCUGGAGUCUGCCAAUGUGCCCCUGGCGAGCUAUCUCAACUUUGCCGCCUACUUUCUGAAGGGUCCCGCUGCUCAAUGGUGGGACAGUCACAGGCGCUCUCAGCCCGAUGGGACUAUCAUCACUUGGGCAGAGUUCAAGGCUGCUUUCCGUGCUCGAUACAUUCCCCAGGGAAUCAUGGACCGGAAGAAGCGUGAGUUCCGCAACUUGGUCCAGGGCAACAAGACUGUGGAUGCUUAUCAGCGGGAAUUUCUGGAAUUAUCUCGCUAUGCUGAAGAAGACAUUGCGACUGAUGCACGCAGGCAGGAGAAGUUCCGUGAAGGCCUCCACCCUGAUAUCAAACUGACACUCCUCGUUCAGGACUAUGCUGACUUCGCCACCCUGGUGAACAAGGCUAUUCAGGUUGAGACUGGUCUGCAGGAUUACAAAGAUAGCAACAAGCGCAACCGUGACAUGGGCUCAUCUUCGGGCUCAUCUGCACAGAAACGGAAGAUCUGGAUUCCCAACAACAUGUACCAUGCACCUGCUCCUACUCCGAGGCCGUCCUAUGCUGCACCUCGCCUGCCUCCUUCACCACCUAGGCAGCCGAGGCUCCCAGCUCCACCGCCUCGAGUUCCUCCUUCCCGUCCUGAGGACGGGCUAUGCUUCAAGUGUGGCCGUCCAGGUCACCGUGCUAGAGACUGCAGGCAGAAUCCGAAUCAGCUGACACUUCCCGCAACUGGCAGUGGCAACAACCAGAACCGCAACUUCAACACUAAGCCUGCUUAUGUUCGUGGUCAGGCCAACAACAUUGAUAUGGGUCAAGCUCAAGACCAGCCUGCUACCGUGAUGGGUACACUUCUCGUUAACUCAGUACCUGCUUCUGUAUUGUUUGAUACAGGAGCAUCGCAUUCCUUUAUGUCGGAAAAUUUUGCAUACAUGCAUGACAUUAGGAGCGAAGAGAUGAACAUCCCGAUAGUGGUAAACACCCCUGGGGGCGAAUGCCGAACCUCUGUGGUUUGCCCCCAUGUUCCAGUUGAAAUUGAAGGAUUAGAAUUCCUUGCCAACCCCAUCCUACUAAAGUCAUCCAACAUUGAUCUCAUAUUGGGGAUGGACUGGUUGAAAGUUCAUACGGCAUCGAUCGUUUGUGCCACCAAGACCGUCCACCUCCUACACCCUUCAGAUGAAAUAAUAAGCUACCAUGCGCAUCUCGUCCGUAAUGCUGAGGCACGGCUGUAUGCUUUGAAUGCAUUAAAUGCGUCGCCUCUAGAAGGGAUUGAAAACAUACCAGUGGUCCGAGAAUUUCAAGAUGUCUUUCCAGAAGAACUUUCGGGGAUUCCCCCUGCUCGAGCUGUCGAGUUUGUCAUUGACUUGGUACCCGGUACCACUCCUAUUGCCAAGCGUCCUUAUAAAAUGCCACCACAUGAACUCCUUGAACUUAAGCAAGAAAUUGACAACUCGCUCCGUCUGGGUUUCAUCCGUCCGAGUUCCUCUGCUUGGGGAGCACCUUCUCUCUUUGUUAAGAAGAAGGAUGGGACAAAUCGAUUGGCUCAAGACUACCAUCCUAUCAACCAGGCCACUAUUCAGAACAAAUAUCCUCUCCCGCGGAUAAAUGAUUUGUAUGAUCAACUUGCUGGUUCCACCGUUUUCUCUAAGCUCGACUUGAGAUUGGGAUACCACCAGAUCCGUGUUCGCAAGGAGGAUAUUCCAAUGACCGCCUUUGUUACUCGAUAUGGAUCAUACGAGUACACCGUCAUGUCCUUCGGCUUAACCAAUGCACCGGCAACCUUCUCUCGACUGAUGAAUUAUAUAUUCAUGGACUACCUCAACAAAUUUUCCGUGGUAUAUCUGGAUGAUAUUCUGGUGUUUUCGAAGAACAAAGAAGACCAGGCUGAACAUCUUCGUCUUGUACUGGAUAAGCUUCGGGAGCAUAAACUCUAUGCGAAGUAUUCCAAAUGUGAGUUCUGGUUAGACCAAGUGACUUACCUUGGUCAUGUGAUUUCCAAGGAUGGUAUUGCGGUCAACCCCGAACGAAUUCAAGCUAUUCUUGACUGGACUCCCCCGAAGAAUGUCAAGCAAGUCAGAAGUUUUCUCGGACUCGCCAGCUAUUGCCGUCGAUUCGUCGAGAACUUCUCCAAGAUUGCGAAGCCCUUAACCAACCUGCUUCACAAAGGUGUUAAGUAUGAAUGGACUGAUAAAUGCCAGGAAAGUUUCCAAGCGCUCAAGGACAAACUGACGUCCGCUCCAGUACUUUCUCCUCCAGAUACGAAAAGGGAUUUCGUCAUAUACUGUGAUGCUUCUCGUCAAGGAAUAGGUUGUGUCCUAAUGCAGGAUUGCAAGGUGAUCGCUUAUGCUUCACGUCAACUGCGUGCUCAUGAAGAGAACUACCUAGUUCAUGAUCUCGAGCUUGCCGCAGUCAUUCAUGCAUUGAAGGAAUGGCGACAAUACCUUGUCGGUAAUCGCUGUGAAAUCUACACCGACCAUCAAAGUCUGAAGUACUUGUUCACUCAACCGGAGCUGAACCUGUGUCAACAAAGAUGGAUGGAGCAUAUAGCAGAUUUUGACUGUAGUAUAUCAUAUACCCCUGGCAAGGCUAAUGUAAUGGCUGAUGCCUUAAGUCGCAAGUCAUACUGCAACCACCUCUAGGUUCAUCAGGUUCACGAUCGUGUGCAAGAGGAAUUCCGUAAGCUGAACCUCCACAUUGUUCCUCAGGGUUACCUUGUUCCCCCUCCUGAAGAUUGUCAAAAGAUGAACCUUCGUGUUGUUAAUCAGGGUUCCCUCAGUAACCUAGUGGUUGAACGAGAUCUUGUGAGCUCCAUAAAGAAUAUAAAAGACUUUGACGAUGAUGUCCACAGGAUUAAGAGCUAUAUUGCGAAGGGUAAACCCUCCUUUUUCACUGUUGAUGAAGGUGGCACCUUGUAUUUCAAGGGUCACCUAUUCGUCCCAAAUAAGAAGGAAAAUCUCAGGAUGACUGGGAAGGUGAUGGAAGAAGCUCAUGACACACCAUUUUCUAUUCAUCCGGGUAGUAGCAAGAUGUACCAAGACAUCCGGCAGAGAUUCUGGUGGCCCAAUAUGAAACAAGACAUUGCACGCUAUAUGGCAGAAUGUGAUAUAUGCCGGCGUAUCAAAGCAGAACACCAAAAGCCUGCUGGGACUCUGCAACCUAUCUCUAUUCCCGAGUGGAAAUGGGACCAUGUUGAAAUGGACUUCGUCACUGGUUUUCCCAGAUCUCAGAAAGGUAAUGAUGCUAUUCUUGUCGUCAUUGAUUGACUGUCCAAAGUUGCACAUUUCCUGGCCAUCAAGGAAAUGAUUAAUGCUAGUCAACUGGCAGAUCUUUAUAUGUCAAGAGUUGUUUCACUUCACGGUAUUCCGUUGGUAAUCAGUUCGGACCGUGGCAGCUUGUUCACUUCAAAAUUCUGGGAAAGUUUUCAGAAGGCUAUGGGGACUCAUCUGUCCUUCAGCAGUGCAUUUCAUCCUCAAUCCCAGGGACAAGUUGAACGAGUCAACCAAAUUCUCGAGGACAUGCUUCGAGCUUGUGUCAUUUCUUUCGGUAAGAAAUGGGAGGAAUCUCUCCCGGAUGCCGAGUUCUCUUACAACAAUAGCUAUCAAGCUAGUCUGAAGAUGGCCCCUUUCGAAGUAUUGUAUGGGCGAAGGUGUCGAACUCCUGUGAAUUGGUCAGAAACUGGUGAACGAUCACUCUUCGGUCCGGAUAUUAUUCAACAUGCCGACGAUCAAGUCCGCAUUAUUCAUGAGAAUCUGAAGGCUGCUCAGUCUCGUCAGAAGAGUUAGUAUGAUCGUCAUCAUCAAGAUAUGGUCUAUCAACCUGGCGAAAAGGCUUAUCUUCGUGUCACACCAAUGAGAGGUGCACACCGUUUUGGAAUGAAGGGCAAAUUAGCUCCUCGUUAUAUUGGCCCUUUCACUGUUCUCGAAAGGCGUGGAAGAGUAGCUUAUCAAUUGGAACUGCCGGCGAACCUUUCUCAGGUUCACGAUGUCUUCCAUGUUUCUCAGCUCCGUCGCUGCUUCAAGGACCCUAUUCGAGCAGUGGAUCACGAUAUGCUUGAACUACAACAAGACCUCUCUUAUAAAGAGCAUCCGGUCCGCAUUCUCGACCAAGCUGAACGUCAGACUCGUCGCAAGGUCACCAAGUUCCUUAAGGUGCAGUGGUCAAAUUACUCUGAAGAUGAAGCCACUUGGGAACGCGAGGAUCAUCUUCGUGAUGAAUACCCCGGGCUCUUUCCUUCUACCUCUUAAUUCUCGGGACGAGAAUUCUUGUUAGUAGGGGAGAAUUGUGACAUCCUCGACNACGGGACCCCGAUCCGUUGACGGUAGACUCCGGUAGGAAGGACUGAACUUUUGGUUCUUCUAUGUUGAGUUAGCAGAGAGUUGUUUCUCUGUUGUGUGUUGACAGAGAGGGAGAUGAGAGUUUUGAGUGAAAAUUAAAAAAAAACAAAUGUUGUACUCCGUAUGUAUGUAUGUAUGUAUUUGAUACCCGUAUUUAUGUAUGUAUUUGCUUAUAUAGGCAUGUGGAGAAAUACGACAUUUGUAUGGUUAUGUAUUUGUGUUUAAAAAUGUGUUUUUGGCCUAGGGUCACUCACCGGUGGGGCCAAUGCACCCGCUGUCUAUGACAGGGAGGCCCCACGCGAUAGUUAAAAUAAAAAUAAAAAUAAUGUUUUUAUUAAAUAAAUAAAUAAAUAGAUAUAAUAAUUAAUUAAUGAGUUAAUGAAUUAGUUAAAUAAAUAUAUAUGUUAAUCUGUUAAUUAGAAUAAUUAAUUAACAUAAUUAGAGUAUGAGACGCGGGUCCCCCACUAAAUUAAUCUGAUUAAAUAAUAUUUAAUCUUAAAUAAAACUUGUGCCUAUGACGUUCGGGACCCGCAGGUCUGUUGACCAGUCAAAUGUUGAUGUCAGCAUGACAUCGCGAUGAUGUCAUAAUAGGAUUUUAUUAAAUCAUUUAAAUCUGUUUUUUAAUUCCUAAAUAAUUAAUAAAACUUUGAAAAUUAAUAUUAAAUAAUCCGUAAGUCAGAUCAAAAUAUUUUCAACAUGAAAGUUGAUCAGCAGAACGAGACGAACCCGUAUACACGGCCCAUUCGUCUGUCACGCGUCCCUAGCAUAGCAAACAUGGAACUUUUCCAUCGUUUCCAGUAUAACCGGUAGUAGCCCGAGACCCGGAAAAUAUCGUCAGAUAUUCUUCCGACCCGUCUAUGACGGAUGUUGCUGCGUUAGCUCAUGUCUAGCCUGCAUCUUGCCAUGUCAUGCUUUGUGUUGCAUCGGUGCUAUUAUUUAUUGUUUCUUCCCCCUCUUCUUACCGAUAGACCCCGAGACUGACGCUGCCGCCGGGUACAUCUACGACCCGGCCGAUCAGUCCUUUGCCGCAGAGCAGCAAGGCAAGCAAACCCCCCCUUGAUCAUUCCUAUAUCGCCUACGUCUUUCUUCCUACUGCUUGCAUUAGUAUUUUGCUACUGUUGUAGUUAGCUCCCAUAUCUGAUGCAUAGCCUAUUUUUGAUGAACUGCUACUGUCAGUCCUGUACCUUUAAUCUGCUUAGUAUAGGUGGAGCAGUCAUCCCCUCUGACCCCAUAGCUCAGUUGCCCCGCUUGUUUUCAAUCUCGAUCUCUGAUCGACGAGCCAGACCCUACACAGCACAUACACCCCCCUUCGUUGUACGACGCUACAGAGAUACUAUCGGGUACCGAGGGUGACACCUCACUAAGUACUCUUGAUGAUAUCUCUGUAGUAUAGCUAGUCGGUCGUGGUUAUCGAGGGUGAUUCCUCUUUCACCAUUCGCGAUGACGUCUCUGUCGUGCCACCCCGCGAGUGUGGGACCCCCGAGGGUGAUUCCCCUAAGCCCACCUUGACGGGUACAUCGUUCGGAAUCCAAUGAGGGUGAUACCUCGGAUUCCCCCCGAUGUUACAACCACACAGUUUACUCGACCAUGUUACUGGAAUCUUUGGUGAUUAGUUGUAAGACGGGUGGAUUCCCGUGAGACUGUGUUGCUGGCCUAAUUAAAAAUGUUAAUGGAUUUGGGUAUUUGAUCUGGGUUGGUCGGAGACCUUUUCGCACUAACCGGCUACGCGGGAAGAAUUAUGGGUACUCGGCGUCGCGGUAUCAGCCGAAACUUUUCAGAUGCCAGCAAUGUAGCGGCGCGCGCUCGAGUGGUCCCGAGAUGCAUCGCGCUUGUGAUUAAGGGAUGCUAGGACUGACGUCGGCCGCCCACGCCACGUGCAGGAGCGUGAAGGGGAACUGGGCCCACGAACCCUUUGUGCUUAGGAUUUAGACCGGCGGGCUGGCCUCUCUGAUUAGUCUUAGGUGGGGCUGCGAUGUGUCGAUAUUCCGAGGCCGGGCAGGACCCAGAAAAGUAUGUCCGGCCAGAGUAUUAUCGAGCGUGACGGGACAUGUGGUGCACCCCUGCAGGGAUGAAAAUUAACUAUUCGGAUAGCCGUGUCCACGGUUACAGGACGACUUGGAGUUGUGCCCCGACCUUUUACAACUACAAUCGUUACUUAACUAGAAUUAGUUUGCCUCGGGAUUGCUUCCUCGCAGGGAGUCGAGGGAGGAUCUUUAGGCGUGACCUCACUUUAAUAUUGCUGCAACAAUAUGACUAUUAAUGUUACCAUCUGUUCUACUCUCGUCUAUUGCUGCAAGACCCUGAAGAUGCUAGUCUUCGAUAGGACUAGGCCUUCUCUCUCUAUUCUCGCAUUGCUGCAGUCAGUCCACACAUAACCCCCUUCUUUGAUACUGAUGCAUAAUUAGAAUAGUUCUGAUGUAAGACUUGCGAGUACUUUGGAUGAGUACUCACCGCUGCUUUGCUCCCCCCUUGUUCCCUUGAUCCGUUUGCUGCGGCCAGAUGAUGGAGCCCAGGAGAUGGAGGUCCUCGCCGCCGAUGACUGCUACCCCGACGGUGCCUACUACUACGUGCAGGCCGCUGAUGAUCAGGAGUAGUUAGGAGGUUCCCAGGCAGGAGGCCUCGCCUCGUUCGAUCGUUGUAUCUUUUGUGCUAGCCUUCUCUAAGGCACCCCAUGUUUUAUGUCUGUACUCAGAUAUCUGUUGCUUCCGCUGACUCGUGUGUUUAUCGAGCUUUCGUAUUCUAGCCCUCGAGGCCCCUGGCUUGUAAUAUGAAGCUGAUGUUAUUUUAUUUGUUUCUAGAGUUGUGUUGUGAUAUCUUCCCGUGAGUCCUUGGGUUUGGUCGUACGCUUUUGCGUGUAUGUUUAGCGUAUGAUUAAGCCGAGGGCGUCACAAUGAUUGACUUAAGUAAUUAUUCAUCGCCUCUGCAUUUAAUGUAAAGUGCAUGUGAUUAGAUAGAUAAGGAAGAGACGCUUGCCUAGUCACGGGCAGGUCCACCGGUUUAAAAAAACACACACCCAUGAACACACAUAAGAGACUAGUCCUAUAAUCAUAUAUAGUUGUGAGUUGCUAUCUAUCAUGGAACUCCAUCUGAACGUGAUAGCGAUUACAAAAAUUAAGGCAACACUCGUCAUGAGUGUAGACUUUGUUUUUUGAUCGCCUCUGCAUGCCGUCUCGAUCUAUAUAUAAGUCCUAGCAAUUGGAAGUACAUACACUGAUCAGAGUCCUAGUUAAGUAACUCAUUUAUUAACAUAACUAAUUGAUGGAUCCUAUGCUCACCUUAGCCAUGCCAAGACACACUUGUGUACCGAAUAUGCGCAACUUAUCACCAGGAUACCCAUAAAUAUGGACAACAGCUUAGUCAUUUGGGUUGAAAGCCGAUGUAAGCCAUACAUGAGAUUACCUCAUUUUUACAACUUCCAUAUUUCAAAUAGUUUUUUAUGGAAACCAUGACACGAAAAUGACUUCGUGUGCAUGUUUUCCAUUGUUUGAAUUAUUUCUUUUUAAGGCUAAUCUAGACACAUUGCUUUAUAUUAGUAUCUAAAAUGCCUUUAUGUCAUAUAAAACUAGGUUGAUACAGCUGGCACAUGGAUCAGUUGCAUCAACCACUAAUUGGUACUUCAUUGAAUUAGAUGUCCACGUGAUUAGAUAGAUAAUAACAAGCUACAUGUCUAGUCGCCGGCAGGCAAACCGAUUUAAACAACAUAAAACACACACACACACAUGCAUUGACACAACAUACUAAUCCUAUAAUCAUAUAGAGUUGAAAGUUGCUUGCUAUCAUCCGGCUCUGUUUGAGCGAGAUGGCAUUUACAAAGAUUAAGCCAAUAAUAAUUACCAAUGUAGACUUGGUUCUAUGACUGAACCUCCACGUUGUCUUCAUCUAUAUAUAAAUAGCAUUUAGAUGCCCUUAAACCAAUCGGAGACCUAAGUAAGUAAAUCACUUAUUUUCGGAUGGAGUCUCUCAUCACAUUACCCAUCCCAAGAUGCACGUGUCUGCUGAAUAUGGUCAAAUUAUUAUCACAUUUUCAAUAGAUAUAGCCAUCGUCUUGGUCAUUUGCAUUCAAAGCAAAGAUAAGCUAUCCAUGAGAGUACCUAUUUUUUAGAAUACCUUUCUUAAAGUGUCAUAUUUCAAAUUGGGUAUAUUUUAUGGAAACCAUGUCUCGUAAAAGGACUAUGUGCGCAAGUUUUCCAUUUUUUGAAUUGUUUCUCAUUUGUAGGCUAAUCCCGAUGCAUUGCAUCAUAUCACUAUAUCUAAUGUUUCUAUGUCAUAUAAAACAAGUUUGAUACCAUUAGCACAAUGCAAUAGUUGCAUCAACCACUAAUUGGUUUCUCUUUUAUGACUGAUGGAAUAUCAUAAUCCUUGCAUGUGAGUAGAUAGAUAAGAACAAGGCACACGCCUAGUCACCAAUAGGCCCACUUGCUUAAAUAACAUGAAACACACACCCAUGCACUGACCUAAGAGAUUAACAACCCUAAUCAUCAUGCUUCAUUUUGGUGUGUUGGUUAUUACAAAGACCAACACAACAUUGAUCAUCAAUGUAAACUUCAUUUUGGGAUCGUGACUCGAGGUUGUCUCAAUAUAUAGGAAAGAAGUAGCCAUUAGAAGUCCUUGCAUUGAUCGGAUUCCAAAUUAAGUAACUCGUUUAUUUUCAUACCCUGAUGAUUGAGCCUUGUUCACAUUAGCCAUGCAAAGAUGCAGGUAUGUGUUUGCCUAAUACGGAAAAAUUAUCACCACAUUAGCCAUGGAUAUACCAUACAUGACACCUAUUCUUCAAAUCACUUGUUUUAAAAGUGCCAUACUUCAAUUUUUGUAUUUUUAGGGAAACCAUGUCACAUAAAAUAUUUUUUGGGAAAGUAUAUAAUUUUUAUGAAUUGUAUGUCAUUUUUAUGUUAAUGUCGGUCUAUUGCGUCAUAUCACUUCUGUAACGUUUCCUUGCAUAUAAAAAACAAGUCUGAUACAAGUCACUAGUCUUGGAUAAAAAAUCUAUAAACAUGGAUUCUUUGAUAAAAAAAUAUAUAAAAAGUUUGAGACAACUCGCUAAUAUUGCACCGUAUCACUUUCUCUAAUGUUUAUAUACAUAUACACUUUUCAUGUCUUGGAUAAAAAUUGAGUGUUGGCUCCCUUUGCUAGAUGAAUAAAAAUAUAUUUUUUGUUAAAAUAGCAUUGUGAUAUUCAUGAACAAAUAAAUUAGAAAAAAGUUGCUUGACAAAAAAGGGGUAGUAAUUGUUGUGCAUAGUACGUGCAAGUUGUAAAUUUGGGGGUUGACAUAUGAAGACUCGGGAUCAAGUUGCUCAUACGUCAUACUUAUCAUAUGAUCUCCAACACCAAGGAGAAGAUAAACAUUGCGAAAGGUCUAUGAUAGUGAACCAACUAGCUAUCUGGCUUCCAAUCAAUAUUGAGAGACAUAUAUAUGAAUAACAUGCUGAAAUCGUAUUAGCACAAGACCAUACAUAUGUCCAUAAAGCUAUAUUAAACACCAAAAGUUGCUACCUACAAACAAUUUCUUACGAGAUAGAGUUACUUUCAUUCAUCAUUGUCCCUUCCGGACUAGUAAUAUUGUAGGUCCUCCCCUGAUACGGCUAACCUUGGGUGUCUCAUUGCACACUAUUGGUGUGGUUCUUGCUUUCUCCCUAACAUUGAAUAUGAUAUGUAAGUAGUCUUUCCUCCGCUAGAUACAUCUGAAUGAAUUUAUCAUGUAUUCCAAACUAAGUCAUCAAUUAUCUUUAUCAUGUAUUCCAAACUAAGUCAUCAAUUAUCUUUAGUGGCACAUAGAAUACUACUUGAUUCCCACCCAUUCACCCCUUAUUCCCAUCAGAACUUAACACAACUGCCUAUAAAUUGUAGGCGCAACAACCAUUCAAGAAGCAUCUCCCACCACAAAAGAAACAAACCUAGCUUGGUAACCAAGACAGGUAGCAACAACAAAAGGAGACAAUGGAGGGCAAGAGGAUGCUCACUGGCACUACCACUUUGAAGGCAAUCAUGUGCCUGCUCAUAUUGAGCAUCGCUGUUCACUCGACCACCGCAGCACAGUGUGGCUGCUGCGUAAGCGCCCGGGCAAAAGCAUGUUGUUUUGCUUGUAUUGCCGCAGGUGGCUCCGACACAAUAUGCAAGAACACUUGUUGUUUCCCCUGUAUUCUUGCCGAUUCGGGUAAAUUCACUGAAUAAACUUUAUGCAAUGCCUUUGAUAUAUAUGCAUGCAAGCUAUGUAUUGUCUUAUGGACUAAUACAUAUGUAUAACCUUCCAUGAUUUUUCAUUAAAGUACUUGAUUGACUUCAUGUCCCAUCUCAAAACUUUAAUCAUAUUAAUUUCGACAAACAUACAUAUUAUAUUCUCUUUCCAUGCAAAAUUAACUCAUGAGCUAAUUGGAGUUCAAUAUUUCAAUUUGAUAGUUGUUGCUAAGAUGGAAGAAAUGGGAGCCAAUGUCGCGAUGGAAGGAGAAGAAUAAAAUGAUACGCCUGCACUGCUACUAGUAUGGAUGCCAUUCACAUGCAUAUGAUGCAUUGCUUCAAGCUAUGGUCAAGUUAUGUUAAUGUGUACCUACAAUAAGUUGUUGAAUGUUUGGGGACAACUCGGGUUGAACCAUGGUUUUGUCUGAAUUACAUAUAUGUUAUGCAUUUGUGCAUGUGUG
rnacentral:lncRNA from 1 species